GUCAGUGUGGCAUAGUGGUUUGAGUGUUGUACUAUGACUCCAAAGACCAGGGUUCAAUUCCACGUUUGGCCA